rnacentral:rRNA from 1 species
UACAGAGGUCUCAAGCGUUGUUCGGAUUCAUUGGGCGUAAAGGGUGCGUAGGCGGCGCGGUAAGUCGGGUGUGAAAUCUCGGAGCUCAACUCCGAAACUGCAUUCGAUACUGCCGUGCUUGAGGGCUGGAGAGGAGACUGGAAUUUACGGUGUAGCGGUGAAAUGCGUAGAUAUCGUAAGGAAGACCAGUGGGCGAAGGC